CAGAAGUGCUUCUCUGUCCUCUGUUUCCUCCCUCAGGGUGUCCAGGCACCAGGCUUGAAGGAUGAAGUGGAGUCUGGAACAGGAGGAGACACUACCCUCUUGUGACACGUCUAGGAAAGAACUCUAAAGUUCUCUAAAGGAACGGGCACCCAACUUCCAUCUGUCACCACCUGGGCUAUGAGCCACAAUAUGUUUGUACUUGGAGCACUGUACCCACUUGAGCCAUGUGCUCAGCAGCAAUGUAAACAACCAGUCAGCAGCAAAAAUAACAAAACCUGUUUCAGAAAAACAAGAGGGGAUAGUAAGUAGUCUAAGAAGCUGAGCCUGAGAGACUCAGAGUUGAACAAGCCAGAUCCUUAUCUUGUUGGACUUGAAGAAGUAGGAACAGAGGAGGACACUCUCUACCCCCACCCCUACUUCCUGCAAGAAACAAAUUAAUGAGGAAAACAAGAGGACAUUUGUUCAUAGUUUUAUGGGACUCUGGAGCCUUCAGCUGGGCCACCCACACUGGACUCUUGCUUCUAGUGCUGCUACUUCAAGAAACAAGGACCACCACGUGCGUGGACACAAGGAGCCCUGCGCUGGGGAGACCAAGCCAGGCCUGCCUGUCUCCAACCUCCUUGACUUCUCUACUGCCACAGUUUUCAUUCCAAGGGUGGGUCAGGACCCUUAGUUUCUAUAUGGAU
rnacentral:lncRNA from 1 species